ACAGCUCAAAGUGCUUUACAAAUAAAGUUGUUUAUUAUUAUUAUUAUUAUUAUUAUUAUUCAUGAAAUUAGUUU